GGUGGCAAAGUGGUUAAGCAUUCUGCUGUUAACUGAAAGGCCGGUGGUUUGAACCCACCAACCACCC
rnacentral:tRNA from 1 species